AUUUCUUCUGCUUUUAGGAUCAAUGCGAAUCAGUAAAAGCACGACAACAAUCGAUCGUCAUGAAGGGUGCUAAAUUAAAUUUUUUUUUGUUAAUGCAAAUAGCUUUCAUUGUUCAAGAUGUUUACAGUGACGCAAAUAAUAACGACGAUACCAAGAUUGUGGGAGGCUCGAUAACCAAUAUUACGAAUGCUGCCUAUUAUGUAAUGGUGUUAGCACUAAAAAAAGGAACAACAAUCCAAUGUGGAGGAUGUUUAAUAUCUGAGAAACAUGCUCUUACUGCUGCACACUGUGUCAAAGGUUACUCAGCUGUUAAAGUGAGACCGAGAAUAUCAAGUAUAAAGGAAUCGUUAAAGGAUAAACCAUGGAUUUCUGGAAGCUUUGUCUAUCAUAAUAAAUAUGGAUACAGAAAUAAUCUGGAUUAUGAUGUCUCAGUUAUCACAUUAUCAACUCCAAUUUCUCCUGAUUCCCUAGCACAACCUAUUAAGGUCGCAAAAGCCAAUUCAAAAUUUCCUGCGGGCACAAACCUUACAGCAUGUGGAUAUGGAUAUACGAAGGAGCAUGGACCUACCAGUAAUGACUUACGGUGUGCUUACAUACAAACAUAUUCUUAUAAAGACUGCCUUAGACAAUACCGGAGAGGUGGUGCCCCUACAGAUAGACAGUUUUGCGCUGGUACUGAAAAUGGCGUCAAUAUUUGCCGGGGUGAUUCCGGCGGUCCUAUAGUAGUUACUUCGUCUCAGGAACUGUUGGGUUUGGCGAGUGGUACUUUCUAUUGCGAGAAGAAAGGGGCACUUGCCCUCUAUACUAACUUGGUCAAUAAAGAGGUGAAUGAUUUUAUAAAAAAACAUACAAGUGAUUAAACUAAUUAAUAAUUCCUUGCAUGUUUGUGUGCCAAUAUUUAUUGUUUUAUGAAAAUAUAAUAUGUGCCAAAUAAA